rnacentral:tRNA from 1 species
CGGGAUGUAGCUUAGCCUGGCGAAAGCGCCUGUCUGGGGGACAGGAGACCGUCGGUUCGAAUCCGGCCAUCCCGA